UUUUCUUUGGCCUCAGGAGUUCUUACUGGCUUCUCUGGUGGUUCUGGAUUAGGAGAGACCUCUAGGGAGGUCCUAGGACUUGCAGUCCCAGUCCCCAAGGAGGCCCUAGGGCUGGUGGGUAUGUUCCCUGAGGAGGGCCUGGGGCUUGCAGUGGCUCUGGGUGGAGGAGGCCUACUAGGGGGUGCUGAGGUCCUCUGGAUAGAGGCUCUCUUCUUUGGUUGUUCAGAUCCUU
rnacentral:lncRNA from 1 species